UACAGAGGGGGCAAGCGUUGUUCGGAAUUACUGGGCGUAAAGGGCGCGUAGGCGGCCUGUUAAGUCGAACGUGAAAUCCCUGGGCUCAACCCAGGAACUGCGUCCGAUACUGGCAGGCUUGAAUCCGGGAGAGGGAUGUGGAAUUCCAGGUGUAGCGGUGAAAUUCGUAGAUAUUGGGAAGAACACCGGUGGCGAAGGCGGCUCUCUGGACCGAUACUGACGCUGAGGCGCGAAAGCGUGGGGAGCAAACAGG
rnacentral:rRNA from 1 species